GUUAUUGAAGAUCAGCCUUAGUGCAUGGUGAUCUGAUAGGAUGCAUGGGACAAUUUCAAUAUUUUUGUAUCUGUUGAAGCCUGUUUUGUGACCUGUUAUGUGGUCAAUUUUGGAGAAGGUACCAAUAGGUUUUGAGAAGAAGGUAUAUCCUUUUGUUUUAGGAUAAAAUGUUCUGUAGAUAUCUGUUAAGUCCAUUUGUUUCAUAACUUCUGUUAGUUUCACUGUGUCCCUGUUUAGUUUCUGUUUCCACGAUCUGUCUAUUGGUGAAAGUGGUGUGUUGAAGUCUCCCACUAUUAUUGUGUGAGGUGCUGUAGUCUCCCCUCCCCCAGCCUGAAACCUGCUUGCUCAGGGGUGGAGCUUCCUGCUCAUUCGUUUUGCCACGCCCACUGUUAGAACCUGCGGAGCCACACACGUGCACCUUUCUACUGGACCAGAGAUUAUUCGGCGGGAGUCGGGUCCCCUCCCCCUUCCUUUAUAACUAGUGUCGUAACAAUAAAAUUUGAGCUUUGAUCAGAAUGAAUUUGUCUUAGCUCCGUUUCUUCUUUCGCCCCAUCUAGAUUCCUCUCUUACAGCUCGAGUAGCCUUCUCAGUCGAACCGUUCAUGUUGCGAGCUGCUGGCAGCCGCAACAUUUUGGCGCCCGAAGAGGGACCUGAAGAAUGGCAGAGAGAUGCUAAGGGAAACGCUGCUGCUGUGGAGCUCCACAGGAAAGGAUCUUCGUAUCGGACAUCGGAGCAACGGAUAGGUACACAUGCUAGCGCUAGCUUAAAAUUUCAGUUUUGUAAAGUGUUGCUGAGGAUGCGGUAGGAUACGAAUUAAGCUUGAAUCAGUGCUAACCCAACGCUGGUUCUGCUUGGGUCAGCAGCGUGUUAAUCGGAACUAGAAACGGAAGCAGGCAGGUUGGCCGCAGCUUUUUAGAAAGCUGCUUAGGUGAAAGAAGAAAGGGUUUAAAGUCAUGGAUCAGGCGGUUGCCCAUAGUUUUCAGGAGUUGUUUCAGGCCAGAGGAGUAAGGCUUGAAGUACAAUUAGUAAAAAUUUUUUUAGAUAAGAUAGAUAGCUGUUGCCCAUGGUUCAAGAAAAAAGAAACAGCCUCUUAGUUUCAGAGUAAAAAAGCUGAUAAAUGGUUCAUGAUUAAUGUGUUUGACAAUGGUAAAGUGUUUUUUAUUCUAUGAUUGUAGCUACAAAAAUUAUUAUUCUCUGAUUGGUCUAAAUGUAACUGCUUCAUUUGGUUCUUUUUUAUUGGUAAUGUGCUCUGAGUGUUUUCACAAUCAGCUCAUAAGUUGUUGGUUAAAAUUAAUAAUUGUUACAUUGCUGCAGAUGGUUAGUGUUAAAUUUGAUAACUCAAAUUUAGAGUCCUUCCAACACAUGGCAUAAGGCAGCCCAAGAGGCUGGGUCUCUAAAGAUAUUUCUAGUUUAGAUAAUAAUUAAUGUAAUUCCUAUCCUAAAUAGUAAAAUUUAAGAUAAGAUUUAAAGCAAUGCCUCAUUAUUAAAGCAUUAAAGCUUGCUUUAAUAGGUAUUCAUAGGUAUUAAUUGACAUCCAAACUUCGUAAUAUGAUAGUAAUGCUUCUAAUAUUGAUUUUAAAGAUAAUAAAUUAUUUUAAACUUGGGUUUUGCUUUCCCAAGUUUAUAGUUAUUAUCCUAACCUUGCACAAGAAACUUAAAAAUUAUGGUUAAAACUGCCAUUGUUCCAUUGACUGCAGCUUGCAGCUUGAUUACAAAUUUAAGAUUUUCUACUCACCCAUAUAUUGUUAAUUAAGAUAAUUACAAGAGUAAUCAUCUUAUGAGAGCGCUCAUACAGCUCACUUCAUACAAACUGUGACAAAGUUAUCUAGUUAAGUUUGUCUUUGUAAAUAGAUUAGACAAACAGUUUGACUAUAGUUGCUGCCAGGCAGGAAACUGCAGUACGGGCAAUUUUUUUCACAACACUAAAGUUGUAAAGAACGUUUUAACUGUAAGUCAUCUUAAGAUAAAGUAUCAAAAAUUUAGAGGCGUAGACGGUUAAAUUGUUCCUCUAAAAUCGGUCCUUAUUACAGGAGGGCCAGGAUGCUCAGAUUAAAAAGUAUUUUACAUUUGAGUCAAUGCAGGGCUCUGGGCAGCCCCAGAGCGACUUGUGGCCUUUCUUGUGUUUUACAAACAGUGCCUAAAAAAGUUUUUCCCUGUGUUCAAGAAAAUUUCUUUUUAACAGUUACAGAUCUAUUCAGAUGUUUAAUAGUGCUUAAAUUCAAAGAGUUUUGCUUCCAGUGAACUGUAAUCACUAAAAAAUUCUGCCUCUAGGUAUGGCUAAUGUAACUUUACAUUAUGUAAGAAAAAUUUUUAUUGUUUCUGCUUCUAUACAAAAAGCCAAGAGUUUUAAUCUUUCAGUAUAUAUUGUUUCCUAAGUAAAAAGUAUUAACUAAUGCUUCUCAAAGGAAAGUUUACCUUAAAUUCUUGCUCUCACCCAAGAGAUUCAAAGACAAUAUCCUUUUAUUACUUAGGGUUUUAGUUUACUACAAAAGGUUUUACAAAAAAUAAAGAAAGCUUUUAUAAUUGCUAUUAAUUGGUAAUUAAAAAUUGGUUGUGCCCAAAACAAUUCUUUGGCCAGAAAAAACAUUAUUACAAAGUCAUUUUUCUCAUCCUCCCAGCCAAUCGUUGGCCCACGUGGGCCCAACUAGCUGCUAUGGGGCGGAGUCUUAAGAGACACAGUUUCCCCUGUUCCAGCACAAAUAAUCUAGUUGUGUGCUGUAGAUGGUGUUUUAAAAUGCUAGGACCCCCUAACUAAUAAAUAGAAGGGUCCAGAUCCAGUUCUAAUUUGGGGUAGGGGCUCAGUUUGUGUUUUUUCACGAGAUGAAGAUGGAGCGCGGUGGCUGCCAGAAAGAUUAAUUCGUCAGAUAAACACAGAUUCUGACUCUUCUGGUAAGUAUCAUUCUAAAGACUAAAAUUCCUUUUGUGCUUAAAAUUCAGCUGAGAGCAAAAGCUCCCAAAGUUGUUCUCCAGCUACUCUCUGAGCCAGCUCCCCGACAGGAGGUCAGAGACUAGCCUCAGCUUUACAAUUUACAUUUAAAUAAAGUACCUGGACUUCCCCAAAAGAAGUUCUGCUUUCCUACUUUCUCACUGUUGAGAUUUUGUCUUUAAAGCAGGUAAAUCAACAUUCUUGAGCCGGACCAGCGGAUGUGCAUCCCCGCCCCCCUAGAGCACACAGGUGGCAGCUGUUAUCUCCAUUCCAAGGACAAUUCCAGCAUGUGGCCUUCAGUCUGAGUUAAAAAUUAGGUUUACCAAGAGGGCUAGAGAAGUAGAUAUUUCUAUAUUAAUAAAGAUUGGUUUUUAUUUUAAUAGACAGGCUUAGUCCCUUAGCUGGUCUCUGGCUUUUCACCCUUGCUGUUACUGCAAGGUGUCCUUAGCUCCUUAGGCUGUAAAAAAAACAGGAAUGAAGAAGAACAACUUCCAGCUCCUAUUUUAGCCACAAAUCGUGGUGUUACUAAUGACAUAAUUAUUGCUUAGGCAUUGCUAAAUCUGAGGUUGAUAAUUCUCCUUUAGGAGCUGCACAGCACUCAAAACUGUGCAUACUGGUUUGUGAUCAUACAAAUUCAGUAUGGGCAUCGCUUGGUGCAGAGAGCACUGCAGGGAAAGGUCCAGCUUAACCAUUUCUGAGUUUCCUGUGAGAUAAACCUGGUUUAAAAGAGGUUGGUAUCAAAUUUUGGCUAAAAAUCAAAAAUAUUUUUCGGCUCUGCCUCUCCUCCCCAAAAGAUACCAGAGCCACAGGUGUGGGUCUUAACAGUACCCACGAGAGGAAUCGGGUCAAUGUCCACCCAAGCCAAGGUUAAAAGCCCACUCAUCUACGGAUGAGAAAAUCAUUUGAUCACCUCAGUUAAGUGCUGCCUUAUUUUAACUUAAUUAAUAGGGGGGAGAGAGAUUGGAGACGUACUAUUGAAAGGGCAAGCCCUUCACUGCCUCCCACCCAAAUAAAAAAGCCAUUUGGCCUUGUACUACAGAGCUGGCCGAACCCCUUCUCCCUGUUUCCCACCUAUCAUCCAAAAAUGCAGAGGUCAACUAGAAAGUUACCUACCAAGUACUAAUUAGCAUCAUAAAGUCAGAGCCUGCAGCUCCAGGCUUUUCAGUUAGUUGUUUACUAAGAAAGGACAGUCUUAAGCCAGAUACAGUUUACCAUAAGAAAAGUUAAAGAAUCCCAGGGAAGCAAGUUUUUUCUUUAGCCCUAGAUUCCAGGCAGAACUAUUGAGCAUAGAUAAUUUUUCCCCCUCAGGCCAGCUUUCUCUCUCUCUCUCUCUUUUUUUUUUUGUUUUGUUAAUAAAAGGGAGAAAAUGUAGUCUCCCCUCCCCCAGCCUGAAACCUGCUUGCUCAGGGGUGGAGCUUCCUGCUCAUUCAUUCUGCCACGCCCACUGCUAGAACCUGCGGAGCCACACACGUGCACCUUUCUACUGGACCAGAGAUUAUUCGGCGGGAGUCGGGUCCCCUCCCCCUUCCUUUAUAACUAGUGUCGCAACAAUAAAAUUUGAGCUUUGAUCAG
rnacentral:lncRNA from 1 species